UCUCUUUGGCGUGCGGGCAAGGCCUACACCGAAAUUGGGAACUUGUGUGCUUUCUGAUGGGCUUGGAGUCACUCCUGCAGACACCUACUCGAUCUGGGUGGAGGAGAGCAAAGAGCAAGGGUUUGGUGUCAGACAGCCGGGCUUGGAAACCCAACUCAGUCCUCCUGCAGCUCCGAGGAGCUGCGGAGAGCCUUGCUUCUCUCACCUGUAAAGCGGAGAUGCCAGUGCCUCCUCGGACUGGGCUCUGGCCAGGUAAGACUUCGGGUCAACCUCUUGCUAGGCUUCUGCCCUCUCUCUGCCAGACGACUGCUCACAUGCGAGGCUGCCAAUGUAGACGUGUUUCCGGGAGUGGCCCAAGGACCUUACCGCCCUGCCAGCCAGCCAGCCGCUUCCUAGCACUAACACGGUCCCUUGGCGUCCACGGGCAUUGCUGUGGGCAGCACACUGCUUAGAAACACUGAAGGGCCCAGACAGCGGCAAGCGGUGGAGGGUGAGACUCCAGUGAGACAGUGACUACAGAGGUUCCACGUACCACGACAGGUGCCCUUAAGUAAACCGGAGUGCAGGGGGCAUAGGAGUUUCGGAGAGGGAGAACCAAAGGACAGAAGGAAGACUGAGCUCCCACCUGGCCCUCGGUACACAACCGUAACUAACACAGGGGAUGACAGGGGGGGGAGGAAAUCUUUGGGCCCCAGCCAGGAAGUGGGGGAGACAACCAGGGAUGAGGGAGGAAAAAAGCCACCAAGCUCUACCUUGAGGUUCCAGAGGAGCCUCUGGAGCACAAGGACCUCUGGACCACCACAUCCACGAAUCGCCCGAGUGACGACAGAAACUCCAGAGGCCAGGAGGGACUGCACCUGGGACAGCUGCCAGUGCAGCAGCAACCACUGAGACCCUGGCUAGGUCCGAUUAUCCGUGCAAUUUUAAAUCUGGAAGCACAGACGUCACCGAGGGAACGGACACCUCUCACACACCACCUGUUGGUGCCUCCUCCGUCCUCGAGCCAGUCCGUGGCACUGUCUACGCAGGGUCCACGUUCUCUCUCCCGCGCCACCAGGUCUCUGGGAUGGUCCUGCUCAGAUAACCGCUCCCCACCACUCCACAGCUCACUCUGCUCCACCGGUGAUUCAGCGCGGGCCUCCUCUCCCUCUGGAUGUGGUCCCCGAAUCCUUGCUCAGGGUUCCUGGCCCCCAUGCGUUCCCCGAGCAUGCUGCACCUGCCUCCCAGUACUACUGGCACCUGUGUCUUCUUGUUGAAUCCCUCUCAGAACCACAAGCUCUUUCGGACCGGAAGUGACCCCUACUCCCUUUCGAACACUCAGCACCUACGAGUGCCUGGUCUGCAGGAAGGGCUCAGUGGCGAGUUAACGCUGCUGAAUGAAGAGGUAAGUGGAGAAGAGGUAGGGCUCAGCUUACGCCCCAUUCCAUCUCUGGAUAAAAUAGGAUCUGCGCUCUCUUACACUUGACGGCCCUUGAAGUAUCAUCUGAUGGUAGUUAUCAAGUUCUGCCCCCCAAGAACAUUCCAGAUAAAGGCAAACAUUCAGUUCCUUCCACACCUCCUCUAACACUCUGGCUUCUCAUCCUGUCUCCACUGGGCUCCCUCCUCUGAUGGCUCUCGUAUUUGUCAGGAGCCCUCCAUAGAGAAGGCAGUCAGAAUGGGACAUGUCUUCCCUCACAUUCCUACCCAAGUUUAGAAAACUGGGCGAUGGCUAACAUUGCAACAGAAAUCAGCAGCGGAGCCAGAAGUGGGAUCCAGAUGUUCAGGCCCCUGGGUCAGGCACACGGUACCUUACUCACAUUAACCAGUCGUGGAUUAGGAGCCCAAACCCAGUUCAUUUCCCUCCUGUACACUCAGGACCGUGUGCGGACUCCUUGCCUCGGUGAACGCGGGGAGAGCCAGAUGCCCAGGCAGCAGCUGGCUCUGCCGCUGGUUAGGGC